rnacentral:rRNA from 1 species
GACGAACGCUGGCGGCGUGCCUAAUACAUGCAAGUAGAACGCACAGUUUAUACCGUAGCUUGCUACACCAUAAACUGUGAGUUGCGAACGGGUGAGUAACGCGUAGGUAACCUGCCUGGUAGCGGGGGAUAACUAUUGGAAACGAUAGCUAAUACCGCAUAAUAUUGAUUAUUGCAUGAUAAUUGAUGGAAAGAUGCUAUUGCAUCACUACCAGAUGGACCUGCGUUGUAUUAGCUAGUAGGUGAGGUAACGGCUCACCUAGGCGACGAUACAUAGCCGACCUGGGAGGGUGGUCGGCCACCCUGGGACUGGGACACGGCCCAGACUCCUACGGGAGGCAGCAGUAGGGGAUCUUCGGCAAUGGGCGGAAGUCUGGCCGAGCAACGCCGCGUGAGUGGAGGAGGUUUUCGGAUCGUAAAGCUCUGUUGUAAGAGAAGAACGGGUGUGAGAGUGGAAAAUUCACACUGUGACGGUAUCUUACCAGAAAGGGACGGCUAACUACGUG